AUGAUAGGCAUGAUUUGGAAUGUAAGGGGGAUUGGGUCCCACAUUAAGAAGAAUUUUAUUAGAGAAUGUAUCUAUGAGACAAAAAUUGAUUUCAUUGGUCUGCAAGAGACCAUCAAAAAUGAGUUCAACAAAAAUGAACUACACAAUUCGUGUCGGGGUAGGAACUUUAGUUGGAAUUGGAUACAACCCAGAGGAAAAUCAGGGGGCAUCCUAGUGGGUGUGAAUAAUGAUACCUUUGAAAUUCUCAAUGUUGAGAAAGGAGUUUAUUGUAUUAGGACAUUACUACUAGAUAAAAGGCCAAAUUUGAAUGAAACCUUAUAA
rnacentral:rRNA from 1 species